rnacentral:lncRNA from 1 species
CUCAGAAGCUGAAGGUACUUCACGGUUACCGUGUGACCCAGGAGGGCAAUGGCCUGUGUCUAGUCUCCGCUGGCCCCUGCUUGGUGAUGAAGAACAUUUCAAGUGUUGGGUGCCUGGCAUUACACAGAUAAAGGAGGCAGAGUCCUUGAGCUUUGGAGCAUUUGUAAUUCAGAAGUGAAGGCAGAUGCCAACACAUGUAGUACAAGAACUGUUUGAAAGGAAGAGUCAUCGAAGUGCCUGCCCGGUGGACUUUCAGCUAUGUUAAUUCAUGGUGACUACUCAUACAACUAUUCUGUUUUCCACUUUCGGAAAACUCAGCGUACUUAAUUGUUUAGGUCAAGCGGUCCCUUGUUUCCGUCAUAAAGAAAGGGAUAAAGAAGAAACAGAGGACUUCUGCUUUCCAAUGACUUACAUCAUCGUGCAGACAGUUGGCAGCUAA